rnacentral:rRNA from 1 species
AUGAACGCUAGCGGGAGGCCUAACACAUGCAAGCCGAGCGGUAGAGAUUCUUCGGGAUCUUGAGAGCGGCGUACGGGUGCGGAACACGUGUGCAACCUGCCUUUAUCUGGGGGAUAGCCUUUCGAAAGGAAGAUUAAUACCCCAUAAUAUAAGAGACGGCAUCGUUUUUUAUUGAAAACUCCGGUGGAUAGAGAUGGGCACGCGCAAGGUUAGAUAGUUGGUGAGGUUACGGCUCACCAAGUCUACGAUCUUUAGGGGGCCUGAGAGGGUGAUCACCCACACUGGUACUGAGACACGGACCAGACUCCUACGGGAGGAAGCAGUGAGGAAUAUUGGACAAUGGGUGAGAGCCUGAUCCAACCAUCCCGCGUGAAGGACGACGGCCCUAUGGGUUGUAAACUUCUUUUGUAUAGGGAUAAACCUACCCUCGUGAGGGUAGCUGAAGGUACUAUACGAAUAAGCACCGGCUAACUCCGUGCCAGCAGCAGCCGCCG